GUCCGCACUACCCUUAUGGGCUGUAACACUCACAGCAAAUGUCCGCAGCUUCACUCGUGAAGCCAGUGAGGCCACGAACCCACCAGGAGGAACGAACAACUCCGGACAUGCCACCUUUAAGAGCUGUAACACUCACUGCAAAGGUCUGUGGUUUAACUCCUGAAGUCAGCAAGACCAUGAACCCACCAAAAGGAAGAAACUCUGGACACAUCUGAAAAUCUCAAGGAACAAACUCUGGACACACCAUCUUUAAGAACUGUAACACUCACCACGAGGGUCUGCAGCUUCAUUCUUGAAGGCAGCAAGACCAAGAACCCAUUGGAAGGAACCAAUUCUGGACACAGAAUCAGGUGUGGGAGUGCUGCUUUCUGAUGUUGAUACCAUUGAAGAGGGAGCAUUGCAGGGCUUGUGGUUCCACCUUUAAAGGAGCACGUGGGAAGCUGAUUAUGAAUGAGCAUAACAAAAACUGGAUAAUGGAGAUCUCAGUGCCUCUGCCAGGAUAAAGGGCCAUUGCUAAAUUAAUGCUGGCAGGAACAGCACUACAUCAGAAAAAGUGGUGGUGGUGCUGGAAACUGUGGGAAUAGGAAACAGUCUUGAACUUUGCCU
rnacentral:lncRNA from 1 species